rnacentral:tRNA from 1 species
GCAUCGGUGGUUCAGUGGUAGAAUGCUCGCAUGCCACGCUGGCGGCCCGGGUUCGAUUCCCGGCCGAUCA